UUUUUUUCAAUGAUAAUUAAGAGUUCAGGUUUGCAUCAAACAAGCCAGAUAAUUUGGAAAACAAAUAACGUCUCUUUCCAGUGUGCUUUCCUUUAUUAGAAAGACUGAACAAAGACAAAUACUGAUGAAAAUCAAUGCUGUCAUUACUCAGUUGUGGUUUUCUGUGUCUGAUAUUGAGAAAGGUUAUAUAUAGACAUUGGUUAAUUGAAAUCCAGUGCAUCAGACCUGUUUCUGUCCAUCUGGGCCAAGUCAUCAUUCGUCAGCUGAGGGGAGCCGUAUACGUGUAGCUGUCUUUGCAAACACGUGUAAUAUACUCCAUAUUACCUCUAAAAUCAGACAUUAUGGCUCAUUUCAGGAAGAUGUUGGUCUGAUAAAUGAAGAAUGGGCAGUUACAGUCCCAUUGUAUGAUGAAGCAGUUUGCAGUCUAGGGGGAAACAAAACUAACCGAUGCUUGGUAUUUGUGGGCUUAGACUGUUAUGUUCCUCACCUCAAUCUCAAAAAUAUAAAUUCUCAAAAUUUAUAAAGCUUAUUUCCCAUUUCUUUUUUAGAAUCAUGGACUCAUAGAAUGAAAAACAGUGUUUUGUUUUUAACCUUAGUUUCCCAUGGUUUUCUGCAAAGCCUGAGAAGCUCAAAACAUCAUUGUGUAUCUCCUUAUUCAGAGAGGAAGCAGGUUUGGGUGUUUGUAACUUGAAGGCUGGCACAAGAUGAUUCAUAACCAGAUCUGUGAUUGCUGACCAUGGUUCAGGGAGCUCUGCAGUUCUGGAGGCUUUUGUAUCUUGAAGUUUAAAAAAAAUAAAUGAAGCAAUCAAUAGAA